rnacentral:rRNA from 1 species
CCUACGGGAGGCAGCAGUAAGGAAUAUUGGUCAAUGGACGAAAGUCUGAACCAGCCAUGCCGCGUGAAGGAUGAAGGCCCUCUGGGUUGUAAACUUCUUUUAUCUGGGACGAAAAAAGCUCAUUCUUGAGCACUUGACGGUACCAGAGGAAUAAGCACCGGCUAACUCCGUGCCAGCAGCCGCGGUAAUACGGAGGGUGCAAGCGUUAUCCGGAUUCACUGGGUUUAAAGGGUGCGUAGGUGGGUCUGUAAGUCAGUGGUGAAAUCUCCGGGCUUAACUCGGAAACUGCCAUUGAUACUAUAGGUCUUGAAUCAUCUGGAGGUAAGCGGAAUAUGUCAUGUAGCGGUGAAAUGCUUAGAUAUGACAUAGAACACCAAUUGCGAAGGCAGCUUACUACGGGUGUAUUGACACUGAGGCACGAAAGCGUGGGGAUCAAACAGGAUUAGAUACCCUGGUAGUCCACGCCCUAAACGAUGGAUACUCGACAUCAGCGAUACACUGUUGGUGUCUGAGCGAAAGCAUUAAGAUCCCACCUGGAAGUACGACCGCAAGGUUGAAACUCAAAGAGUAGUUACGCGNGAGAGAGACGACGAGACGACGACGGAGGGAGGAG